rnacentral:rRNA from 1 species
AGUGAACGCUGGCGGCAGGCCUAACACAUGCAAGUCGAACGGCCGCACAGUAAGCUUUUGCUCUUACGGGUGGCGAGUGGCGGACGGGUGAGGCAUACAUCGGAUUCUUCUUUUUCGUGGGGGAUUACGUAGGGCCACUUCCGCUACUACCUCAUACGUCCUACGGGUGAAAGCAGGGGUUCUUCGGACUUUUCGCGAUUCUUUUAGACGAUGUCGCAUUAGCUAGUUGGCUUGGUAAAGUCCCACCAAGGCAACGAUCCGUAGCUGGUCUGAGAGGAUGAUCAGCCACACUGGAACUGAGACACGGUCCAGACUCCUACGGGAGGCAGCAGUGGGGAAUAUUGGACAAUGGGCGAAAGCCUGAUGCAGCAACGCCGCGUGAGUGAAGAAGGCCUUCGGGUUGUAAAGCCCUGUUAUCAGGAAAGAAAAGCAGCGGAAGAAAACACCGCUGUUCUGACGGUACCCAAAGAAAAAGCACCGGCUAACUUCGUG